rnacentral:tRNA from 1 species
GGGCUCAUAGUCUAGUGGUAGGACGUGGCGCUUUCAACGCCAGAACAGGAGUUCGAUUCUCCUUGAGCCCA